AUGGUAGGAGAGCGUUCUAAGGGCGUUGAAGCAUGAUCGUAAGGACAUGUGGAGCGCUUAGAAGUGAGAAUGCCGGUGUGAGUAGCGAAAGACGGGUGAGAAUCCCGUCCACCGAUUGACUAAGGUUUCCAGAGGAAGGCUCGUCCGCUCUGGGUUAGUCGGGUCCUAAGCUGAGGCCGACAGGCGUAGGCGAUGGAUAACAGGUUGAUAUUCCUGUACCACCUAUAAUCGUUUUAAUCGAUGGGGGGACGCAGUAGGAUAGGCGAAGCGUGCGAUUGGAUUGCACGUCUAAGCAGUAAGGCUGAGUAUUAGGCAAAUCCGGUACUCGUUAAGGCUGAGCUGUGAUGGGGAGAAGACAUUGUGUCUUCGAGUCGUUGAUUUCACACUGCCGAGAAAAGCCUCUAGAUAGAAAAUAGGUGCCCGUACCGCAAACCGACACAGGUAGUCAAGAUGAGAAUUCUAAGGUGAGCGAGCGAACUCUCGUUAAGG
rnacentral:rRNA from 1 species